rnacentral:rRNA from 1 species
GGUUAAGCGACUAAGCGUACACGGUGGAUGCCCUGGCAGUCAGAGGCGAUGAAGGACGUGCUAAUCUGCGAAAAGCGUCGGUAAGGUGAUAUGAACCGUUAUAACCGGCGAUGUCCGAAUGGGGAAACCCAGUGCAAUUCGUUGCACUAUCGUUAACUGAAUACAUAGGUUAACGAGGCGAACCGGGGGAACUGAAACAUCUAAGUACCCCGAGGAAAAGAAAUCAACCGAGAUUCCCCCAGUAGCGGCGAGCGAACGGGGAGCAGCCCAGAGUCUGAAUCAGCUUGUGUGUUAGUGGAACGGUCUGGAAAGUCCGACGGUACAGGGUGAUAGUCCCGUACACCAAAAUGCACAGGCUGUGAACUCGAAGAGUAGGGCGGGACACGUGGUAUCCUGUCUGAAUAUGGGGGGACCAUCCUCCAAGGCUAAAUACUCCUGACUGACCGAUAGUGAACCAGUACCGUGAGGGAAAGGCGAAAAGAACCCCGGCGAGGGGAGUGAAAAAGAACCUGAAACCGUGUACGUACAAGCAGUGGGAGCACCUUCGGGUGUGACUGCGUACCUUUUGUAUAAUGG